rnacentral:misc_RNA from 1 species
GUGAAUCAUCAAAUUUUUGAACGCAAAUUGCGCUCUCUUCGGAUAGUACGCCUGUUUGAGGGUCAGCCUAAAAAAAAUCGACAUAGUUGGUGUGACGCGGUAACAUUCGUCGGAAAUUGGGUCAUCUUAAACCUUUGGGGUUAAGUGGCUUAAAAUUUUCUUUACGAUUCCAGGAACGUUUCUAAGAUUUUAGUUUCUUAUACGUUUAAGGUAUCGAUCUUUAUUAGACGUGUCCGUUGUAGGGGAUCGUGGGCAUAAAUA